GCUUCCUUAGCUCAGCGGUCGAGAGCAUCCGGUUGUCGUCCGGAAGGUCACCGGUUCAAAUCCGGUAGGGGGCG
rnacentral:tRNA from 1 species